rnacentral:rRNA from 1 species
UACGUAGGGGGCAAGCGUUGUCCGGAAUCAUUGGGCGUAAAGAGCGUGUAGGCGGCCCGAUAAGUCCGCUGUGAAAGUCCAGGGCUCAACCCUGGAAUGCCGGUGGAUACUGUCGGGCUCGAAUCCGGAAGAGGUGAGUGGAAUUCCUGGUGUAGCGGUGAAAUGCGCAGAUAUCAGGAGGAACACCAAUGGCUAAGGCGGCUCUCUAGUACGGUACUGACGCUGAGACGCGAAAGCGUGGGGAGCGAACAGG